CCUACGGGAGGCAGCAGUGAGGAAUAUUGGUCAAUGGACGAGAGUCUGAACCAGCCAAGUAGCGUGAAGGCUGACUGCCCUAUGGGUUGUAAACUUCUUUUAUAUGGGAAUAAAAUGUUCCACGUGUGGGCUUUUGUAUGUACCAUAUGAAUAAGGAUCGGCUAACUCCGUGCCAGCAGCCGCGGUAAUACGGAGGAUCCGAGCGUUAUCCGGAUUUAUUGGGUUUAAAGGGAGCGUAGAUGGGUUGUUAAGUCAGUUGUGAAAGUUUGCGGCUCAACCGUAAAAUUGCAAUUGAUACUGGCAGUCUUGAGUACAGUUGAGGUAGGCGGAAUUCGUGGUGUAGCGGUGAAAUGCUUAGAUAUCACGAAGAACUCCGAUUGCGAAGGCAGCUUACUAAACUGCCACUGACAUUGAUGCUCGAAAGUGUGGGUAUCAAACAGGAUUAGAUACCCUUGUAGUC
rnacentral:rRNA from 1 species